GACGAACGCUGGCGGCGUGCCUAACACAUGCAAGUCGAACGGAGCCAGCCCCUUCGGGGACUGACUUAGUGGCGAACGGGUGAGUAACGCGUGAGAAACCUGCCUUUCAGUGGGGGACAACAGUUGGAAACGACUGCUAAUACCGCAUAAUGUCAUUUGGGGGCAUCCUCGAAUGACCAAAGAUUUAUUGCUGAAAGAUGGUCUCGCGUCUGAUUAGCUAGAUGGCGGGGUAACGGCCCACCAUGGCGACGAUCAGUAGCCGGUCUGAGAGGAUGAACGGCCACAUUGGGACUGGGAUACGGCCCAGACUCCUACGGGAGGCAGCAGUGGGGAAUAUUGGGCAAUGGGGGAAACCCUGACCCAGCAACGCCGCGUGAAGGAAGAAGGCCUUCGGGUUGUAAACUUCUUUUACCAGGGACGAAGAACGUGACGGUACCUGGAGAAAAAGCAACGGCUAACUACGUGCCAGCCGCCGCGGUAAUAC
rnacentral:rRNA from 1 species